GUUACUUUUUUAAGAAAAAGAGGGAAAGGUAAUAAAAGGAUAGGAAAAAGUAGUAAAGGAAUGUUGCUGGUAUUGUCCAUUUGAAAAAUAGAGUGAUAUGUAAUGUAUUACUGAUACCCUCUCUCAGAGAGUUGAGUGAGAACAAAAAUAACUGAAAAAUAACCAUCAGCCUGUAGGAAAAUGGCAGUUUUGCCUCCCAUUUACCCUAAAUGGAAUCUGAAUUGAGUGGGCUGUAUAA
rnacentral:lncRNA from 1 species